UGCCUUUUAAUUGUAGGCCUGCAUGAAUGGCUCGACGAGGGUUUAACUGUCUCUGGUUUGUGAGCCCUAAAUUGGAUUAAAGGUGAAGAUACCUUUAUACAAAAGUCAGACAAGAAGACCCCGUGCAACUUUUAAAGUCGGUUUAUUGAGAAACCUUAAGAUUUUUAGGUGGGGCGCCUACUGAGUAAUAUUAACCUCUGUGUAUAAUAAAGACUUUCAAGUUUAGACCCGACAUUGUCGAUAAUAGGAGAAGUUACGCCGGGGAUAACAGGCUAAUCCGCUAGUAGAGAACGUAUUGGCUAGUGGGAUUGGCACCUCGAUGUUGAAUCAGGGAUGAUACCUUU
rnacentral:rRNA from 1 species